rnacentral:tRNA from 1 species
GCGGACGUGCCGGAGCGGUCAAACGGGACGGGCUUAGGACCCGUUAGCUUAGUGCUUACGCAGGUUCGAAUCCUGCCGUCCGCA